GACGAACGCUGGCGGCGUGCCUAAUACAUGCAAGUCGAACGAACCGCGACUGAGUGCUUGCACUUGGUCAAGGUGAGUGGCGAACGGGUGAGUAACACGUGGGUAACCUACCUCAUAGUGGGGGAUAACAGUCGGAAACGACUGCUAAUACCGCAUAGGACAUAGGAUCACAUGAUCCAGUGAGGAAAGGUGGCGCAAGCUAUCGCUAAGAGAUGGACCCGCGGUGCAUUAGCUAGUUGGUAGGGUAAAGGCCUACCAAGGCGAUGAUGCAUAGCCGACCUGAGAGGGUGAUCGGCCACAUUGGGACUGAGACACGGCCCAAACUCCUACGGGAGGCAGCAGUAGGGAAUCUUCCGCAAUGGACGCAAGUCUGACGGAGCAACGCCGCGUGAGUGAAGAAGGUGUUCGGAUCGUAAAGCUCUGUUGUUAGAGAAGAACAGCGCAUAGAGUAACUGCUAUGCGUGUGACGGUAUCUAAACAGAAAGCCACGGCUAACUACGCG
rnacentral:rRNA from 1 species